rnacentral:tRNA from 1 species
GGGCUGGGGCUCAGUGGUAGAGCACCCGCCUAGCAUGUGUGAGGCACUGGGUUUGAUCCUCAGCAUCACA